rnacentral:rRNA from 1 species
AGUGAACGCUGGCGGCAGGCCUAACACAUGCAAGUCGAGCGGAGCGGCGGACGGGUGAGUAAUGCCUAGGAAUCUGCCUGUUAGUGGGGGAUAACGUCCGGAAACGGGCGCUAAUACCGCAUACUAUCAGAUGAGCCUAGGUCGGCUUAGCUAGGUGGUGGGGUAAUGGCCUACCAAGGCGACGAUCCGUAACUGGUCUGAGAGGAUGAUCAGUCACACUGGAACUGAGACACGGUCCAGACUCCUACGGGAGGCAGCAGUGGGGAAUAUUGGACAAUGGGCGAAAGCCUGAUCCAGCCAUGCCGCGUGUGUGAAGAAGGUCUUCGGAUUGUAAAGCACUUUAAGUUGGGAGGCGUUACCAACAGAAUAAGCACCGGCUAACUGCGUGCCAGCAGCCGCGGUAAUAC